CAGGCGUGUCUGCAGGGACGACCUCACCAACUCCUACCUUGGAUGCUGCACAAAAGCCCAGCUCCCAUGGCAGGGGUCCUCUGACAGGAGAGACCAAAGACAUGGCAGGCAGGAAAUUCCAGGACCCAUUAGAAAUCAUGUGGCAAAUGCUGAAGGAACGUCUGCAGAGAAGACAAGAAAUGAAAGGAGAGCCUGCGGAGAAAGAAGCAUUUCCCGGAGGAAGCAGUGGUUGCAUGCCAGCCUCAGCUCCAGGAAGGGAGGCCAUGCCAGGCACAGGCACAGGAG